GGCUUCUCUGUGCUCCUCUCUUGUUUGGGAGCCGACGAGUGAGCUUUGAUAUCAGCUCUCACAGCUGGGAUUCAGGCCACUUCGCAGAUGAGGGGCAAACCUGUCAUGAAGUCCUUAGCCCUGAGCCUUGGAGAGUUUAAGGAGGCAGAGGGAGAUCCUCUCAUGCAGAUCUGAUCUGGGAUAAUGGGAUCAGAAGGCCCUGCUCCAUGGGUCCAUAUGGGAGUAGCUGCCC
rnacentral:lncRNA from 1 species